rnacentral:rRNA from 1 species
CUUGGUGACAUUAGAGAAGAGGCAAUACCUGAUCCCAUCCCGAACUCAGAAGUCAAGCUCUUCAUCGCCGAUGGUACUCUACACAAGAGUAGGGAAGAGUAGGACGUCGCCAAGA